GACAGAAGAUGUUCAUGGUUUGACUUUCUACUCGAGUCGUGUCAAUAUAAAUAUAAUAGAUCAGGAUUCUUCUACACAACAGAAGAUGUUCAUGGUUUGACUUUCUACUCGAGUCGUGUCAAUAUAUAUAUAAUAGAUCAGGAUUCUUCUACACAACAGAUGAUGUGAAUGUUUCUGCACUUCACUCAUUUAUUCAAGAUGUUUAUCUUAAUGAGAGAAAUAAAUGCUCGGAAGAACGAGAGAAAGUGAGAAAAUGACCAAAGAUCAACGAGUCAAUGAAGAAUCAAACAGUUCCAUGUUUGUUCGGCGAAACAGCACACAUAGUGGCCGACCAAACAUGUCUGCUGAUCUCAGACCUGUACAAACACAAUCUUAUGUAUCACAGACUGUUAAACAUGAGAAAAGCACAUCAAGAUCUCUUCUGGAAGACUGUCUGAGACACGUUCAACUCAACUUUCAGCAUUUACGAUUGAAAAUGAAGCAAAACUUCAAAUAAUCUCUCAAACUCUAAAAACUGUUCAACAAUAGUUCAACAUCAAUCCUGUUGUAGGGGAAUGAAGGUCAUAAAUGAUCAUUUCUGGACUAAAAAGAUGCUGAAAAAUGUAAAACUGGAGUGGUGGUGAUGUAGUGGUCUAAGCACAUAACUGGCAAUCUGGUAAUCAGAAGGUUGCUGGUUUGAUCCCCACAGUCACCACCAUUGUGUCCUUGAGUAAGACACUUAACUCCAGGUUGCUCCGGGGGGAUUGUCCCUGUAAUAAGUGCACUGUAAGCCGCUUUGGAUAAAAGCAUCUGUCAAAUGCAUAAAUGUAAAUAUAAAACAAAAACUUUGAGAACAAA